rnacentral:tRNA from 1 species
GCCCCUGUAGUUCAACGGAUAGAACUGCGGACUCCUAAGCCGCGAAUAUAGGUUCAAUUCCUAUCAGGGGCA